rnacentral:rRNA from 1 species
AUUGAACGCUGGCGGCAGGCCUAACACAUGCAAGUCGAACGAGUGGCGGACGGGUGAGUAAUGUCUGGGAAACUGCCUGAUGGAGGGGGAUCACUACUGGAAACGGUAGCUAAUACCGCAUACCCUCAGAUGUGCCCAGAUGGGAUUAGCUUGUUGGGGGGGUAACGGCUCACCAAGGCGACGAUCCCUAGCUGGUCUGAGAGGAUGACCAGCCACACGGGAAGUGAGACGCGGGCCAGACUCCUACGGGAGGGAGCAGGGGGGAAUAUUGCACAAGGGGCGCAAGCCUGAUGCAGCCAUGCCGCGUGUAUGAAGAAGGCCUGCGGGUUGUAAAGUACUUUCAGCGGGGAGGCGUUACCCGCAGAAGAAGCACCGGCUAACUCCGUGCCAGCAGCCGCGGUAUUC